rnacentral:rRNA from 1 species
GUUGUAUGGUUAAGUGACUAAGCGUACAUGGUGGAUGCCUUGGCAGUCAGAGGCGAUGAAGGACGUACUAACCUGCGAUAAGCCGUGAGCAGUCGGUAAGAGACAUUACGACUCACGGAUUUCCGAAUGGGGAAACCCACUUAGCAUAAGCUAGGUAUCGCUACGUGAAUACAUAGCGUAGCGAGGCGAACCGGGAGAACUGAAACAUCUAAGUACCCCGAGGAAAAGAAAUCAACCGAGAUUCCCUCAGUAGCGGCGAGCGAACGGGGAUUAGCCCUUAAGCAUCUUGGAAGUUAGUGGAACGGUCCUGGAAAGGCCGGCGAUACAGGGUGAUAGCCCCGUACACGAAAACGACCUUGAUGUGAAAUCGAGUAGGGCGGGACACGUGACAUCCUGUCUGAAUAUGGGGGGACCAUCCUCCAAGGCUAAAUACUCCUGACUGACCGAUAGUGAACCAGUACCGUGAGGGAAAGGCGAAAAGAACCCCUGUGAGGGGAGUGAAAUAGAACCUGAAACCGUGUACGUACAAGCAGUGGGAGCCCUUCGGGGUGACUGCGUACCUUUUGUAUAAUGGGUCAGCGACUUACAUUUUGUAGCGAGGUUAACCGUAUAGGGGAGCCGUAGGGAAACCGAGUCUUAACUGGGCGUCUAGUUGCAAGGUGUAGACCCGAAACCGGGUGAUCUAGCCAUGGGCAGGUUGAAGGUUGAGUAACAUCAACUGGAGGACCGAACCCACUAACGUUGCAAAGUUAGGGGAUGACCUGUGGCUGGGGGUGAAAGGCCAAUCAAACUCGGAGAUAGCUGGUUCUCCCCGAAAGCUAUUUAGGUAGCGCCUCGGACGAAUACUACUGGGGGUAGAGCACUGUUUGGGCUAGGGGGUCAUCCCGACUUACCAACCCCAUGCAAACUCCGAAUACCAGUAAGUAAUAUCCGGGAGACACACGGCGGGUGCUAACGUCCGUCGUGAAGAGGGAAACAACCCAGACCGCCGGCUAAGGUCCCAAAGUUCUGGUUAAGUGGGAAACGAUGUGGGAAGGCUCAGACAGCUAGGAUGUUGGCUUAGAAGCAGCCAUCAUUUAAAGAAAGCGUAAUAGCUCACUAGUCGAGUCGGCCUGCGCGGAAGAUGUAACGGGGCUCAAACCAGGCACCGAAGCCGCGGAUUCAC